CCUACGGGUGGCAGCAGUGGGGAAUAUUGGACAAUGGGGGCAACCCUGAUCCAGCCAUGCCGCGUGUGUGAAGAAGGCCCUCGGGUUGUAAAGCACUUUCAGUGGGGAAGAACGCCUGGUGGUUAAUACCCAUCAGGAAAGACAUCACUCACAGAAGAAGCACCGGCUAACUCCGUGCCAGCAGCCGCGGUAAUACGGAGGGUGCGAGCGUUAAUCGGAAUUACUGGGCGUAAAGCGCGCGUAGGUGGCUUGAUAAGCCGGUUGUGAAAGCCCCGGGCUCAACCUGGGAACGGCAUCCGGAACUGUCAAGCUAGAGUGCAGGAGAGGAAGGUAGAAUUCCCGGUGUAGCGGUGAAAUGCGUAGAGAUCGGGAGGAAUACCAGUGGCGAAGGCGGCCUUCUGGACUGACACUGACACUGAGGUGCGAAAGCGUGGGUAGCAAACAGGAUUAGAUACCCUGGUAGUC
rnacentral:rRNA from 1 species